AUACGUAGGGGGCGAGCGUUGUCCGGAAUGACUGGGCGUAAAGGGCGCGUAGGCGGCCCGGUAAGUCUGGAGUGAAAGUCCUGUUUUUAAGAUGGGAAUUGCUUUGGAUACUGUCGGGCUUGAGUGCAGGAGAGGUAAGUGGAAUUCCCAGUGUAGCGGUGACAUGCGUAGAGAUUGGGAGGAACACCAGUGGCGAAGGCGACUUACUGGACUGUAACUGACGCUGAGGCGCGAAAGUGUGGGGAGCAAACAGGAUUAGAUACCCUGGUAGUCCACACUGUAAACGAUGAAUGCUAGGUGUAGGGGGUAUCGACCCCUUCUGUGCCGCAGUCAACACAAUAAGCAUUCCGCCUGGGGAGUACGGCCGCAAGGUUGAAACUCAAAUGAAUUGACGGGG
rnacentral:rRNA from 1 species